rnacentral:rRNA from 1 species
AUUGAACGCUGGCGGCAGGCCUAACACAUGCAAGUCGAACGAGUGGCGGACGGGUGAGUAAUGUCUGGGAAACUGCCUGAGGGGGGGGGAUAACUACUGGAACCGGUACCUAAUACCGCAUACCAUCGGAGGUGCCCAGAGGGGAUUAGCUGGUGGGUGGGGUAACGGCUCACCAAGGCGACGAUCCCGAGCUGGUCUGAGAGGAUGACCAGCCACACGGGAACUGAGACACGGUCCAGACUCCUACGGGAGGCAGCAGUGGGGAAUAUUGCACAAUGGGCGCAAGCCUGAUGCAGCCAUGCCGCGUGUAUGAAGAAGGCCUUCGGGUUGUAAAGUACUUUCAGCGGGGAGGCGUUACCCGCAGAAGAAGCACCGGCUAACUCCGUGCCAGCAGCCGCGGUAAUUC